GGGGACCAUGUGUUGAGAUUCCUGCAUUGCAUGCGGGUUGAACUAGAUGGCCUUUGGGCCUCUAGUUUACAACUUUACAAUUACCGUAUUUUUCCGUGUAUAAGUCGAUGUUUUUUGUUUUAAAUAAUCUGCCAAAAAUUGGGAGUUGUCUUAUACACGGAUGGGGAAUGCACAGGGGUUACAAAAACACUACUUACCUUCCCACGGCUGCUAUGAAGAAGCUGCCGGAACUGCCAAUCAUUUCAUCAUAAUCAUAAAAUGUUGAUUUCUUAAUUUGGGGUUCAAAAAAAUAAGGGUCGUUUUAUACAUGGGGACACACAGAAAAACAUGGUAUAGGAUCCUGAUUCUGUCUGUUAUAGUUUCCCAUAACUAAUUCUUGCACAACUUAGCAGCAGCCUCCUCGCAUCCUGGUAGCACCUUGUUGGUUAUUCAACUUGUGACUGGGUCGAUAGGGACAAUACAAGGUUCAGAAUGGAGUUCCAGAAAGUUCCAGCUGAAAGAAAAAAAAGGCCCUGGAGCUUGGCAAUUCUACCUGCUUAGUGUUUCUAUUCCGUAUACAAACCACAAUGGCUGGUGCUUUGAUUUAGUUUGGUGAUUAAUAUUCCCUGCUUAUACACGUUACUACCUCCUGCUCCAAUUGUGAAGGCCAGUGGCCGCUGCAAAUAAAUCUUUCUCUCUCUGUGAA